UCAUAUAGCAAAUAUUGUUGCUUGGAACUACAAAACUAGAUAUUUGAUUUGUCUCAGUGAGUUAGUUUAUUUCAAUAAAUAUUUUGUUAAAAAUAACAAAUAUUUGACUUGUGCAUUCCUGUCAGUUUCUUAACAAACAAUUCCAUAGAAAAUUUAACUUGCAAAAUAAGUUUACAAUGAACUAACUUUACAUGAAGAAUAAAUGACGUAGUCACUUAAGUCUAACUCCAUUUGUUCGUGAAGUGCAAUCUUAACCAGCAAGUCCUCGUCUAAACCGUAGUCUUUGUAUCUCUUUCAACGCGUGUGGCAAACCAGGAUGAUCGACAAUAUCGGCCUCAUCCAGGAUACGUGUCGCCUAAUAUUUCCACCACAACUGGAACUAGUUGACGCACAAGAGUCGGGUAACCAAAAAUGCGAUCGGAAAUUGAAAGAGAACGGCGUACGAUUCGACGCAGUUUGUGGCUAGAAGAAUCAAACGAG